rnacentral:rRNA from 1 species
UACAGAGGGUGCAAGCGUUGCUCGGAAUUAUUGGGCGUAAAGGGUCGGUAGGUGGUCUCAUUUGUCCGGGGUGAAAGCCUUGAGCUUAACUCAAGAAGUGCCCCGGAAACGGUGAGACUAGAGUCUUGGAGAGGGUCGUGGAAUUCCCGGUGUAGCGGUGAAAUGCGUAGAGAUCGGGAGGAACACCAGAGGCGAAAGCGGCGACCUGGACAAGUACUGACACUCAACUACGAAAGCGUGGGGAGCAAACAGG